GGGGAUGUAGCUCAAUUGGUAGAGCGAUGAUCAAAGCUUGACAUAGGUACUGUGUUCAAUUCCUCGCAUCUUCA
rnacentral:tRNA from 1 species